rnacentral:tRNA from 1 species
GGACUGGGGCUCAGCGGUAGAGCGCUCGCCUAGCACAUGUGAGGCACUGGGUUCGAUCCUCAGCACCA